AUACGUACCUGGCAGGGGAGAUAUCAUCGUCACGAUGGUGCUUUUCCCAGGGCGAGGCUUAUCCAUUGCACGAAGGGGAUGCUGACCUCUGCAGUUUCCCCAACUGUGGGAAACUUACAGCAUAAUCUGGAGUGGAGGACUCUGUCCAUGCUUCCA
ensembl:snRNA U1 U1 spliceosomal RNA